CCUACGGGAGGCAGCAGUCGCGAAAACUUUGCAAUACACGAAAGUGUGACAGGGUCAUCCCGAGUGCCGACCGCUGAGGUUGGCUUUUACCCAGUCUAGAAAGCUGGGGGAAUAAGGAGAGGGCAAGUCUGGUGUCAGCCGCCGCGGUAAUACCAGCUCUCCGAGUGGUGUGGACGUUUAUUGGGCCUAAAGCAUCCGUAGCUGGCUGAACAAGUCCCCUGUUAAACCCACCGAUUUAAUCGUUGGUGUGCGGGGGAUACUGCUCGGCUAGGGGACGAGAGAGGCAGACGGUAUUCCCGGGGUAGGGGUGAAAUCCUAUAAUCCCGAGAAGACCACCAGUGGCGAAGGCUGUCUGCUAGAACGCGCCCGACGGUGAGGGAUGAAAGCUGGGGGAGCGAACCGGAUUAGAUACCCGCGUAGUCC
rnacentral:rRNA from 2 species